rnacentral:lncRNA from 1 species
UAUUUUAUGUACAGUAUAUAAUACACACUUUGGGUAUUUUGAUGUUUUAUGUACAGUAUAUAAUACAUAAUUUGUGUACUUUGAUAUAUUAUGUACUGUAUAUAAUACAUACUUUGGGUACUUUGAUAUUUUAUGUCCAGUAUAUAAUACAUACUUUGGAUACUUUGGUGCACAUUUGCAGCGCUUUGAGGCCUAUGGUGAAAAAGGAAAUAUCUUCUCAUAAAAAAGAGAAGCAAGCAUUCUCAGAAACUUCUUUUUGAUUUGUGUACUCAAGUAACAGAGUUGAACCUUCCUUUUGACAGAGCAGUUUUGAAACACUCUUUUGGUAGAAUCUGCAAGUGGAUAUCUGGAUAGCUUUGAGGAUUUCGUUGGAAACGGGUUAUCUUCAUAUAAAAUCCAGACAGGAGCAUUCUCAGAAACUUCUUUGUGCUGUAUGUCCUCAAUUCACAGAGCUGAACCUUUGUUUGGAUACAGCAUUUUGGAAACAUUCCUUUAGUAGAAUCUGCAAGUUGAUAUUUAGAUAGCGUUGAAGAUUUCGUUGGAAACGGGAAUAUCUUCAUAGAAAAUCUAGACGGAAGCAUUCUCAUAAACUGCUUUGUGAUGUUUGCAUUCAAGUCACAGAGUUGAAUAUUCCCUUUUAUAGAGUAGGUUUGAAACACUCUUUCUGUAGUAUCUGGAAGUGGACAUUUCAAGCGCUUUCAGGCCUAUGGGGAGAAAGGAAAUAUCUUCAAAUAAAAACUAGACAGAAGACUUCUCAGAAACUUAUUUGUGAUGUGUGCCCUAAAC